rnacentral:rRNA from 1 species
GACGAACGCUGGCGGCGUGCUUAACACAUGCAAGUCGAACGGUGAACCGGGCUUCGGCCCGGGGAUCAGUGGCGAACGGGUGCGUAACACGUGGGCAACCUGCCUCAGACACUGGGGAUAACCCCGGGAAACCGGGGCGUAAUACCGGAGUACUCCGACCGGGACUGCAUGAUCCGGCCGGGAAAGGACUCCGACGGUCUGAGAUGGGCCCGCGGCCUAUCAGCUUGUUGGUGGGGUAACGG